AAAGCGGAAACCGAAAAGCUAAACGAGUAGGUA
rnacentral:ncRNA from 1 species